rfam:Gossypium raimondii chromosome 5, whole genome shotgun sequence.
AGUUCAUGGUAAGGACACCUUCUUAACAUAUCAUUAAUCUCUCCCAUGUAUCAUAAAGAGUUUCAAUAUUAAAAUAAACAAAAGAAGAGAUGUCAUUUCUUAACUU